rnacentral:rRNA from 1 species
UACAGAGGAGCCAAGCGUUGUCCGGAUUGACUGGGCGUAAAGCGCACGCAGGCGGUUGCGCGCGUGGGGUGUGAAAUCUGGCCGCUUAACGGCCAGGCGCCAUCCCAUACGGCGCGACUGGAGUGAUGCAGAGGUCGAUGGAAUUGCCGGUGUAGUGGUGAAAUGCGUAGAGAUCGGCAGGAACACCCAGGGGGAAACCAGUCGACUGGGCAUCUACUGACGCUGAGGUGCGAGAGCGUGGGGAGCAACAGG